rnacentral:rRNA from 1 species
CCUGGCUCAGGAUGAACGCUAGCUACAGGCUUAACACAUGCAAGUCGAGGGGCAGCAUGGUCUUAGCUUGCUAAGGCCGAUGGCGACCGGCGCACGGGUGAGUAACACGUAUCCAACCUGCCGUCUACUCUUGGACAGCCUUCUGAAAGGAAGAUUAAUACAAGAUGGCAUCAUGAGUCCGCAUGUUCACAUGAUUAAAGGUAUUCCGGUAGACGAUGGGGAUGCGUUCCAUUAGAUAGUAGGCGGGGUAACGGCCCACCUAGUCUUCGAUGGAUAGGGGUUCUGAGAGGAAGGUCCCCCACAUUGGAACUGAGACACGGUCCAAACUCCUACGGGAGGCAGCAGUGAGGAAUAUUGGUCAAUGGGCGAGAGCCUGAACCAGCCAAGUAGCGUGAAGGAUGACUGCCCUAUGGGUUGUAAACUUCUUUUAUAAAGGAAUAAAGUCGGGUAUGGAUACCCGUUUGCAUGUACUUUAUGAAUAAGGAUCGGCUAACUCCGUGCCAGCAGCCGCGGUAAUACGGAGGAUCCGAGCGUUAUCCGGAUUUAUUGGGUUUAAAGGGAGCGUAGAUGGAUGUUUAAGUCAGUUGUGAAAGUUUGCGGCUCAACCGUAAAAUUGCAGUUGAUACUGGAUAUCUUGAGUGCAGUUGAGGCAGGCGGAAUUCGUGGUGUAGCGGUGAAAUGCUUAGAUAUCACGAAGAACUCCGAUUGCGAAGGCAGCCUGCUAAGCUGCAACUGACAUUGAGGCUCGAAAGUGUGGGUAUCAAACAGGAUUAGAUACCCUGGUAGUCCACACGGUAAACGAUGAAUACUCGCUGUUUGCGAUAUACUGCAAGCGGCCAAGCGAAAGCGUUAAGUAUUCCACCUGGGGAGUACGCCGGCAACGGUGAAACUCAAAGGAAUUGACGGGGGCCCGCACAAGCGGAGGAACAUGUGGUUUAAUUCGAUGAUACGCGAGGAACCUUACCCGGGCUUAAAUUGCAGAUGAAUUACGGUGAAAGCCGUAAGCCGCAAGGCAUCUGUGAAGGUGCUGCAUGGUUGUCGUCAGCUCGUGCCGUGAGGUGUCGGCUUAAGUGCCAUAACGAGCGCAACCCUUGUUGUCAGUUACUAACAGGUUCCGCUGAGGACUCUGACAAGACUGCCAUCGUAAGAUGUGAGGAAGGUGGGGAUGACGUCAAAUCAGCACGGCCCUUACGUCCGGGGCUACACACGUGUUACAAAGGGGGGUACAGAGGGCCGCUACCACGCGAGUGGAUGCCAAUCCCCAAAACCUCUCUCAGUUCGGACUGGAGUCUGCAACCCGACUCCACGAAGCUGGAUUCGCUAGUAAUCGCGCAUCAGCCACGGCGCGGUGAAUACGUUCCCGGGCCUUGCACACACCGCC